rnacentral:rRNA from 1 species
CCUACGGGUGGCAGCAGUAGGGAAUAUUGGGCAAUGGGGGGAAGCCUGACCGAGCAACGCCGCGUGAAGGAAGAAGGUAUUCGGAGUGUAAAGUUCUUUUAACAGGGAAGAAAGAGAAAUUUGACGGUACCUGAAGAAUAAGCUCCGGCUAACUACGUGCAAGCAGCCGCGGUAAAACGUAGGGAGCGGGCGUUAUCCGGAAUUAUUGGGCGUAAAGGGUGCGUAGAUGGCAUAGUAAGUCUUUUGUAAAACUGCUGGGCUCAACCCAGUAGGGCAAAAGAUACUGCAAAGCUAGAGUAUGACAGAGGCAAGUGGAACUACAUGUGUAGCGGUAAAAUGCGUAGAUAUCUGUAAGAACACCAGUGGCGAAGGCGGCUUGCUGGGUCGAUACUGACAUUGAGGCACGAAAGCGUGGGGAGCAAACAGGAUUAGAUACCCGGGUAGUC